rnacentral:tRNA from 1 species
GGAGGGUUGACUGAGCGGUCGAAAGUGCGCCCCUGCUAAGGGCGUAGGCGGGAAACUGCCUCGAGGGUUCGAAUCCCUCACCCUCCG